CUUGACCUUUCGACAACAAAACAUUACUUUUAAGAGACAAAAAACACUAAACCUAAUAAUCCCAAUGCCUUCAUAUUGCGUCAUUUCACUCCAACUUUAAUGGGAUAAGAUGAUUUUAACAUUUUAUUGAGAAACAAAACAAAAUAAAUCACACAUUACAACUACUGGUUCAAACAAAACAGCUGUGCAAACUCUGAAAACAGAACACUGUGGCCAGCAAGGUGACUCAAAUGUUUCUUUGUUUGUGUGGAUUAAGCAAUAACAGGUUUAUAUACCAGUGUAUAUGAAGAGUCCUGUCAAUGCCUCCAUGAAUCACUUCAGAGACGUUACAUGAAUGAAAGAGAUGAGUGUUUGAAUGGCCUGAUUAACUUGGACAUUUUAAUCCACUAUCUAAUCCAUCAGAGAAGACAUGGACGACUAGCAGCCACAACCACUCCGCUAAUCACAUUCACAAGCUUUCAAAGAGGGGUGACAGAGGAGACGGCGACUGUCCGCUGACAGAGGAGACGGCGACUGUCCGCUGACAGAGGAGACGGCGACUGUCAACUGACAGAGGAGACGGCGACUGUCAACUGACAGAGGAGACGGCGACUGUCCUCUGACAGAGGAGACGGCGACUGUCCGCUGACAGAGGAGACGGCGACUGUCCGCUGACAGAGGAGACGGCGACUGUCCGCUGACAGAGGAGACGGCGACUGUCCGCUGACAGAGGAGACGGCGACUGUCCGCUGACAGAGGAGACGGCGACUGUCCGCUGACAGAGGAGACGGCGACUGUCCGCUGACAGAGGAGACGGCGACUGUCCUCUGACAGAGGAGACGGCGACUGUCCUCUGACAGAGGAGACGGCGACUGUCCGCUGACAGAGGAUACGGCGACUGUCAACUGACAGAGGAGACGGCGACUGUCCUCUGACAGAGGAGACGGCGACUGUCCUCUGACAGAGGAGACGGCGACUGUCCGCUGACAGAGGAGACGGCGACUGUCCGCUGACAGAGGAGACGGCGACUGUCCGCUGACAGAGGAGACGGCGACUGUCCGCUGACAGAGGAGACGGCGACUGUCCGCUGACAGAGGAGACGGCGACUGUCCGCUGACAGAGGAGACGGCGACUGUCAAUUGACAGAGGAGACGGCGACUGUCCGCUGACAGAUGUAACCCGGAUCAGUGCCCCACUUGCAUUACCAGAUUUGAAACACCUGAGCGCUCUUAUUUUGGUGGGGCCAGUUCCCUAUAUUAACAUCCGGGUCACAUAGCCACUUCCUGUCAUCCAUGCUCUGGCUGUUGCUGAUCUGCUGUGGCUGGCUGCAUCUCCUAUAGCUGUCGGCUAUCUAAACUUGAAACAAAACUCUGUAACAUCUUACUGGACUAGUUCUUCGAACAACCACACCUUGAACUAACUACUCUUCGGUCAGGUUUUUUUUCCACCCCCACUUCUAUCCUUAUUGGAAGAACUUUUUGAUCUGCACCAUAUAGGAAUGGUGCAUGGCGAGCUACCCACGAACUCUCAAUGAAAAACUUGAUUUACGAACCUAGGAAAAAGGAACUUCGCAAAAGACGCCAUACCCAAAGGAAAAAGGAACUUUGAACACCAAAGACUGAAAAAUAUCCUUGUGGAUCCCUGGACACUCCUUUCUACAGUGUCUAAAAUUAUUGUUUUGUUAUUUGUUUUCUUUGUUUAAAUACAGUCAAUUGAUUGCUUU